UGCCUCUUCAAUGUCUACACUGAAGCAGUCAACCAUUCGAGUUGUGGCUAUCAUUGCUUAAGGUGUACCCGAGUCAAAUGCUAAGUAAUUGAUUGCUUAUGCACGGUCUAACAAUAAGGUUGUUAUUGGCCCAGCUACUGUUGGAGGUAUUCAAGCUGGAGCCUUUAAGACUGGUGACACAGCCAGAACAAUUGACAACAUAAUUCAGUGCAAGCUAUACAUACCUGGAUCUUUUGGUUUUGUCUCCAAAUCUGGUGGAAUGUCUAAUGAGAUGUACAAUACCAUAGCUUGUGUAACAGAUGGAAUCUAUGAAGGCAUUGCUAUUGGAGGUGAUGUGUUUCUAGGCUCCACUCUUUCUGAUCAUGUUCUGUGGUUUAACAAUAUUCCGCAGGUACUUUAUUGCUAUCAUUUGCUCCUUCAAAGUGCAUGCCUG